CCUACGCGUGGCAGCAGUGGGGAAUAUUGGACAAUGGGCGAAAGCCUGAUCCAGCCAUGCCGCGUGUGUGAAGAAGGCCUUCGGGUUGUAAAGCACUUUCAGUGGGGAAGAAAGCCUUGGGGCUAAUACCCUCGAGGAAGGACAUCACCCACAGAAGAAGCACCGGCUAACUCCGUGCCAGCAGCCGCGGUAAUACAGGAGGGUGCGAGCGUUAAUCGGAAUUACUGGGCGUAAAGCGCGCGUAGGCGGUCUGAUAAGCCGGUUGUGAAAGCCCCGGGCUCAACCUGGGAACGGCAUCCGGAACUGUCAGGCUAGAGUGCAGGAGAGGAAGGUAGAAUUCCCGGUGUAGCGGUGAAAUGCGUAGAGAUCGGGAGGAAUACCAGUGGCGAAGGCGGCCUUCUGGACUGACACUGACGCUGAGGUGCGAAAGCGUGGGUAGCAAACAGGAUUAGAUACCCGAGUAGUC
rnacentral:rRNA from 1 species